UAUUUCAAUUUCAUGUAUUUCUGCUCUGAUCUUUAUUAUUUCUUAUCCUCUACUAAUUACAGGUUUGGUUUGCUCUUGCUUUUCUAGUUCUUUAAGAUGCAUCGUUGGGUUGUUUAUUUAAAGUUUUUCUGUUUUUUGAUGUAGGCACUUAUAGCUAUAAACUUCUCUCCUAGUAUUGCUUUUGCUGUAGCCCAUAGGUUUUGGUAUGUUGUGUUUCCAUUAUCUUUUGUUUCAAAACAUUUUUCAAUUUCCUUCUU
rnacentral:lncRNA from 1 species